UACGUAGGCAGCGAGCGUUUGUUCGGAGUUACUGGGCGUAAAGGGUGUGUAGGCGGUUGUUUUAAGUUUGGUGUGAAAUCUCCCGGCUCAACUGGGAGGGUGCGCCGAAUACUGAAUAACUAGAGUGCGGGAGAGGAAAGUGGAAUUCCUGGUGUAGCGGUGAAAUGCGUAGAUAUCAGGAGGAACACCGGUGGUGUAGACGGCUUUCUGGACCGUAACUGACGCUGAGACACGAAAGCGUGGGUAGCAAACAGG
rnacentral:rRNA from 1 species